CUCUCAAACUCAUAAGUUAUGUCACAAGUUGACAUCUCCUACAUAGAUCUAUUUAUUUCCUAAACACAUUAAACAAAGCUUAUCUAGAUAACUCCUAGAUAGUAUGUGUUUCCUAUUUCAAUUAGAAUUAGGUUAGCUUGGGAAUCAAGCUAACUUCAAGAUUAUCUUCAACAAGCGAGCACAAACAAAAUGCCAAUGAAAAAGAGACUGGAGCUGUAGACUUGCAACAAAUCAGAACACAACUGCUGCAACAACUGACGCUAUAAUAAACACUAAGAUCAGCACGAUUUUGAAGAAAGCAAACCCAAUUCGCCAGCUAGCAACGAUGGAGAUGAAAGUGAUACAUGGAGUGAUGCGUAAAUACCCUUUUCAAUAAAGAUUCCAAUUCACCUUUGUUAUUUACUUUCUGCAAGCAUUUUUAUUGUACCAUAACUAA